CCCCAUUUAAGCCGAAAACCACGCGAUUUCUCUUCGCAAAUCUCCCAUUUAAGCGAAAAUCACGCUUUUUCUCUUCGAGAAUCCCCCAUUUAAGCGAAAAUCACGCGUUUUCUCCUUGGAAAUCCCCCAUUUAAGCAAAAAUCACACGCUUUCUCUUCGAGAAUUCCCCAUUUAAGCAAAAAUCAUACGUUUUUUCUUCCAAAGCCCCCAAUUAAGAGAAAAUCACACGUAUUCUCUUUGGAAAUCCACAUUUAACUUGAAAAUCACGUGCUUUCUAUUUGAGAAUCCCCCACUUAACCCGAAAAUCAGGCAUUUUCUUUUCGAGAAUCCCCCAUUUAACCCGAAAAUCACGCGUUUCCUAUUUGAAAACCCGCCAUUUAAACAAAAAUGCCACAUUUUCUCAUCAGAAAACCCCCAUUUAACCCGAAUAUCACGUGUUUUCUAUUCGAGAAUCCUUCAUUUAAGAAAAAAUCAUGCGUUGUCUCUUCGCAAAUCCCCCAUUUUACCCGAAAAUCACGCGCUUUCUUUUCGAGAAUCCCCCAUUGAACCCGAAAAUCACGCAUUUUCUCUUCAAGAAACCCCCAUUUAACCAGAAGACCACGCGUUUUCUCUUUGAGAAUCCCACCUUUAAGCGAAAGUUGUGCAUUUUCUCUUCAAGAAUCCCCCAUUUUACCCGAAAAUCACGCGCUUUCUCUUCGAGAAUCUCCCAUUUAAGCAAAAAUCACGUGUUUUCUCUUCGAGAAUCCCCCAUUUAAGCAAAAAUCAUACGUUUUUUCUUCCAAAAUCCCCCAUUUAUGCAAAAAUGCCGCGUUUUCUCUUCAGAAAACCCCCAUUUAACCCGAAUAUCACAUGUUUUCUCUUCGAGAAUCCCCCAUUUAAGCAAAAAACACGUGUUUUCUUUUCGGAAAACCCCCAUUUAACCCGAAAAUCACGCGUUUUCUCUUCGAGAAUCCCCCAUUUAAGCAAAAAACACGUGUUUUCACUUAGAGAAUCCCCCAUUUAAGCAAAAAACACGUGUUUUCUCUUCGCAAAUCCCCCAUUUAAGCGAAAAUCACGCAUUUUCUCUUCGCAAUCCCCAUUUAAGCGAAAGUCACGCAUUUUCUCUUCGCAAAUCCCCCAUCUAAGCGAAAGUCACGCGUUUUCUCUUUGAGAAUCCCCCAUUUAAGCGAAAAUCACGCAUUUUCUCUUCGCAAAUCCCCCACUUAAGUUGAAAAUCUCGUGCUUUCACUUCGAGAAUCCCCCAUUUAACCCGAAAAUCAUGUGUUAGGACUUUGCGAUUCCCCCAUUUAAGCGAAAUUCAUGCGUUUUCUCUUC
ensembl:lncRNA